GCGGUCGGCGAUCCAGAGCUCGACGGCCUGGAAGGCGACCUCGAACUGGUCGCAGGGGAUGGCUUCGCAGUUGGGGUAGGCGCGGCCCGCGGCAGCCUCGCUGUAGGCGCCGGGGACGCCUUGGUAGGCGACGCGGAGGCUGGAGCCGUGCAUGGGAGCGGGGGCGAGGUCGGCAAUGGUGAGGGGGCGGGGGAGGUUAGAAAUGGGGACUAGUCCCAAAUCCGAGGGUGCAAUAUGGCCGUUGAGGGCAGGAACGGGAACUAAUUUGUUGUUAUUUUCUUCAGGCUGGUGAUGGGAGAUGGCGGACUUGCUGGAAAGGAUGGCGCAGGUGCUCUGCCAGUCGGCGCGGCUGGGGCCGACUGCGCCGGGGAGGAACUGAGGGGCGGAGCAGGUGAUGUUGGUUGGCUUGAAAGCGAUCGUGGGGUAGGCCAUGGAAGCCAUUGAAUUGAAUUGAUUUGAAGUCAAAUAGAGAUGAAG
rnacentral:misc_RNA from 1 species